CCUACGGGUGGCAGCAGUGGGGGAUAUUGCACAAUGGGGGGAACCCUGAUGCAGCGACGCCGCGUGGGUGAAGAAGCGCCUCGGCGCGUAAAGCCCUGUCAGCAGGGAAGAAAAUGACGGUACCUGCAGAAGAAGCCCCGGCUAACUACGUGCCAGCAGCCGCGGUACUACGUAGGGGGCAAGCGUGAUCCGGCUUUACUGGGUGUCAAGGGGGCGCAGACGGCGAUGCAAGCCAGGAGUGAAAGCCCGGGGCCCAACCCCGGGACUGCUCUUGGAACUGCGUGGCUGGAGUGCAGGAGGGGCAGGCGGAAUUCCUGGUGUAGCGGUGAAAUGCGUAGAUAUCAGGAGGAACACCGGUGGCGAAGGCGGCCUGCUGGACUGCAACUGACGUUGAGGCCCGAAAGCGUGGGGAGCAAACAGGAUUAGAUACCCCAGUAGUC
rnacentral:rRNA from 1 species